UACGUAGGGACCAAGCGUUGUUCGGAUUUACUGGGCGUAAAGGGCGCGUAGGCGGCGUGUUAAGUCACUUGUGAAAUCUCUAAGCUUAACUUAGAACGGUCAAGUGAUACUGAUGUGCUAGAGUGCAGAAGGGGCAACCGGAAUUCUUGGUGUAGCGGUGAAAUGCGUAGAUAUCAAGAGGAACACCUGAGGUGAAGACGGGUUGCUGGGCUGACACUGACGCUGAGGCGCGAAAGCUAGGGGAGCGAACGGG
rnacentral:rRNA from 1 species